GACGAACGCUGGCGGCGUGCCUAAUACAUGCAAGUCGAGCGGACUUUCAAGAAGCUUGCUUUUUGAAAGUUAGCGGCGGACGGGUGAGUAACACGUGGGCAACCUGCCUGCAAGACGGGGAUAACUCCGGGAAACCGGGGCUAAUACCGGAUAAUAUCUUCCUUCGCAUGAAGGAAGGUUGAAAGGCGGCGCAAGCUGCCGCUUGCAGAUGGGCCCGCGGCGCAUUAGCUAGUUGGUGAGGUAACGGCUCACCAAGGCGACGAUGCGUAGCCGACCUGAGAGGGUGAUCGGCCACACUGGGACGGAGACACGGCCCAGACUCCUACGGGAGGCAGCAGGAGGGAAUCGUCCGCAAUGGGCGAGAGACUGACGGAGCAGCGCCGCGUGAGCGAGGAGGGUCUUCGGAUCGUAAAGCUCUGUUGUCAGGGAAGAACAAGUACCGUUCGAACAGGGCGGGACCUUGACGGUACCUGGCCAGAAAGCCACGGCUAACUACGUG
rnacentral:rRNA from 1 species